rnacentral:rRNA from 1 species
CCUACGGGGGGCUGCAGUGGGGAAUAUUGGACAAUGGGGGGAACCCUGAUCCAGCCAUGCCGCGUGUGUGAAGAAGGCCCUCGGGUUGUAAAGCACUUUCAGUGAGGAAGAACGCCUGGUGGUUAAUACCCAUCAGGAAAGACAUCACUCACAGAAGAAGCACCGGCUAACUCCGUGCCAGCAGCCGCGGUAAUACGGAGGGUGCGAGCGUUAAUCGGAAUUACUGGGCGUAAAGCGCGCGUAGGUGGCUUGAUAAGCCGGUUGUGAAAGCCCCGGGCUCAACCUGGGAACGGCAUCCGGAACUGUCAAGCUAGAGUGCAGGAGAGGAAGGUAGAAUUCCCGGUGUAGCGGUGAAAUGCGUAGAGAUCGGGAGGAAUACCAGUGGCGAAGGCGGCCUUCUGGACUGACACUGACACUGAGGUGCGAAAGCGUGGGUAGCAAACAGGAUUAGAUCCCCGGUAGUC